AUAGUUUCAAAAUGAUUCCAUUUUUGUAUUUACGUUAGAGUGGAUGUUGUUAUUAGCAUUGUGUAUUUAAUUUUUUUUUGGUAUGGACAUAGUUCGUAAUAGAUGUCUAUAUGGUUUGUAUAUGUUUGGAUUGUUUGUGUGGAUUGGAUUGUUGGUAACAGGGUAUGCUCAACUGCAGGUUUGGAUUGAUUGGGGUUUUGCAGCUUGGAUAGUUUGUUGGGUUUGCAUGUUUGGAUUGUUUGGGGAUAUGCAUCUUGGAUUGUUUGGUGUUUGGGGGUUUACAGAUUUGCAGCUUGGAUUGUUGGGUUUGGAUUGUGUGUAUAAUAUUUGGGGAUAUGCACUUCGAUUGCAGCUUGGAUUGUUUGUGGGGAUUUGUAGAUUUACAACUUAAAUUGUUUGGUGUGGACUUGGAGGCUACUGAUUCUGCUAGUAAUAGUAGCGGACAUACAUGCUACUGAUAUGUAUUCGCUGACGGUCAUACUAUCGACUCUCUCACUGCUUGAUUUGCUAAUUGAC
rnacentral:lncRNA from 1 species